CAUCAGUUGUGUCUCAGAGUGUGCCGCAGAAGGAGAUAUAUUAAGCAUGGGUGGAGUUUAUUGGGCAGAGCUAGUGGGAAAGGAGCCAAGUGCACAGUGAAAAAGGUGUAUUCCACCGCACUUCCUGUGUUCCUGUUUAAAGCUCCAGGUCCAGGAAGCUCCCAGAUCAGGAAUAAGCAGUUACUGAAGGAAAGCUGAAAUGUGCAGGA